AGCGGUGAGCACUGUUAGGGUGAACACGCGACCGCGUGGCCGACGGCACUGUCAGCGCCCCGUUACGGUCAUCACUGGAAACAUUGCGCAUGCGCAUCACGCCUUCCGCGAAAUAAUUGUUCCACCGCGCGCAUGACGUCAUGAAUGCACUUGUUCGUCGUCUGCUAGCCGCAUUUUUGUUUUCUAAGCCCAUGCAUCCUGCAUUUUAAGACUUCUUUAAACAUCUGUGCUUGAACAGAACAAGACAAAAAAAAAAAAAACUUGUAUAUCUAUGGGGGCGUGUCUAUUCGUUCCCUUCAAAGUUGUUGUGCAUGCAACGCCGUAUAUAAAACAACCAAACAUCUUUCGCAGCCGUUCAUUCUGUCGCCAGAUCGUAUUAUGGCUAGGGUUCCCGAUGAUGAACGGCGCUCAAUUGUCGAUCUUUCCCUGAAAGGUUAUUCCCAGCGGUAUAUUGGCGCUUUUGUUAAUAGGCCCCUGAAGACUGUGAACAGGAUAAUUCAAGCCUACAAGUAUGAAGGUCGCAUUCAGGAUGCACCCCGCGCGCCCCGCCCUAAAGCUACCACAGACGAUGAAGACGCCCUCAUAGUUGCAGCUGCUGUUCGUAACCCUUUCUUGCCAGCCCCAGCAAUACGCGAGGACUUGGAUUUGGACGUUUCGGACACCACUGUUCGACGUCACCUGCGUACUGCGGGCCUUCGCAGUCGCGUCGCAGCGCAGAAGCCAGUACUAACGGCGGCAAACAAGGACGCACGACGGCAGUUCGCUGAGCUCCACGAAGCAUGGACAUCAGAAGAGUGGGGUCGCGUCAUCUUUUCGGAUGAGUCGUCGUUUUAGACGCGACAAGACCAAAGAUUGCGUGUUUGGAGACUACCAGGCACACGGAACGACCCGGACAACGUGCAAGGUGUUUCUGCCAGUGGGAGAUCGAGUGUGAGCGUGUGGGGUGCUGUUUCAAGAUAUGGUUUAGGGCCCCUGCAACGUAUACAUGGACACUUAUCGUCGGAACAAUACUGCAACAUUUUGAACAAUGUGCUGUUGCCAUAUGCGAGCAGUUUAUUCCCAGACGGUGAUUACCUGUUCCAACAGGACCGGUCACCGAUACACACGGCGCGGGCUGUCAAGGAGUUCCAGGCGGAGCAGCACAUGCAGCUACUGGAAUGGCCUCCGAAAGGAGCGGACCUGAAUGUGAUAGAAAACGUGUGGGGCCGUCUGAAAGCUUCUUUGGCAAGGAAGCCCCUUUAUUCCCCGACUUCGGACCAGUUGUGGGCGCAAGUCAGCAACGAGUGGGAAAGGCUGAAAGCCGAUCGGGAAUAUGUUCGAUCACUUUACGACUCGUUACCGUCCAGAAUAGCUGCAGUCGUUGCUGUAAGUGGUCACAUGACUCGCUAUUAGAUUUGUCAUGUUUUAUAUUUGUUCUCAUGGUCUUGUUUAACUUGAAUUGCAAAAGUGCAAUUUUCUUGAAUAAAAAGUUUAAUAAUUA